AAGGAAUACAUUAUACCACAACUGACAGAAACGUUCUUGAAAUAUGACUGGCCUCGGGCUCAUUUGAACCAACUCGAUUUCUGUGAGUAAUUGUAGACGGAAAGGAGGCGUUAUUUAUGUUUAACUCCCUUUCCGUGAUAAAAAGCUCCACGAGAUAGAUAAAAAUGAAAGGAUACCACCUGCAGAUUUGUCAACCUUAGGUGUAUUUAUAGUGCUUGAUCUUAGGGUGGGCCUGGCCGGGUUGAGUGAUGACUCAGUGGUGUCAUAAGCGUCUGUCCACCGUGGCUAUAAUCUUCCCUUUUAGUAAGUGUAAUGCUGAAUUUUUAACAAGCUUUAACAUGUGCAAUACCUGGAGGUUGUAACAGGCGGGGUGACUGAUAUCCGGUGAUCAAUGAGAGGUUAAGGUAGUUUGGAAGAAGUGUUGAUGUAUAAAUGCAGAAAUGUAGGUCUCGUUUCCUUUAGAGGCGACUUGUAGUUGUUGUUUUUAUAAACUUGUGUUAGGUGUGUGUGUACGUGUGUAUUUACCUAGAUGUAUUUAUCUAGCUGUGGUUUAUGGGAAGAGGAGGCUAAGUUCGUGCUGUCCGUCUCGAAAUCUACUCUCACCCAGUUUUUUUCCAUAAAAUCAUGUAUAGUUAUUACAUUUACUAUUUCAUUUUGCAGCUCAUUCCAGAUUCCUGCAGUCCUUCUCGGGAAACUGUUCUUUUUAAUGUCCCUUCUACACACACCCUUCUUCACCUUCUCAUGCCCUAACUUUAUGAAGAAUACUGCCCAAGGGGCCGUAUUCUUCAUAGAGUUACGACAUGUGUCAUAGCUAUAGCAAACGCGUAUCAUAACUUAGAACAUCUACCAUAAGUCGUAUAUCAUGAGUUAUGACAUGAGUGAAACCGUCUAUCAUAACCGUCUGCUAUAUGUAGCGCUUGCUUGAUUUCAAAUAUUGAAAGACGUUGUAAACACUGGCUUUUACUGCUAAUUUAUAACUGCUAUAAUUAUUUCUUUCAUUUUUAUGUAUAAGAGAAAUAGUGGGUAAGAUAGAAAUUCAAUCUUUGAAACACUAAAUGUGGUCCCGUAGGAACGCCUCAGUUUAAACACUGUUCAGUUUUUUUUUUUUUUUUUUUAAUGUAGGAGGGACACUGGCCAAGGGCAACAAAAAUUCAAUAAAAAAAAAAAAAAGCCCACUGAGAUGCCAGUCCCAGAAAAAGGUCCGAAGCGGUAGUCAAAAAUUGAAGGAUAAGUGUCUUGAAACCUCCCUCUUAAUAGUGUGAGAACGGAGAGUUUAGUUCACGGAUUAUUAAGGUUGAGCAGUAUUUCUCGUUAUCAUACGAAGACGAAACCACCUGGUUGGAUCCUCGGAAUGCUGAGUAGGCUGUGUUAUACCAGGGUUAUAGGAAAAUGUAAUAAGGAGAUUCUUUAUUCUUACUAGGAGCCAGUCCCUUCUUGUCACCAUGUAUCUCAGGUGAAAAUGAUGUGUCUGGGGCUCAGCUGCAUAGACAGUGUAGAUGCGCUCAAAGAGGAAGUUGUGUCUGUGAGAGAGGUGGAACCAUCCACUGACUGGAGGUUUGUAGUGCACAUAGACCUGGUUGGUGCCCCAGCAACCACAAGUGUUGCCCACCACUGCAGAUGCACAUACAUCUUCCAGUAUAACACUCACCAAUCAGCCAGAAGUCAUGAUCAUCAGCCUUGGUCAGAUUAUAAUAAUAUUUACGAUACGUGUAGUGCUCAUGUUUAUGCUUUAAUUUAGUGCUGUUGAUCAAGG